AUUUUAAAUCAAUUAUCCGCAGACAGUAGGUGUUACAAGACUUAAUAUCCUACCUAGGAAAAACAGUAAUAUUAGCCAACUAGGCUAUUUUACUCCUAUAAUCUGCGGAAUUAGCAGAUUUUUUAAUUU
rnacentral:sRNA from 1 species